GAAAUGCGAUAAGUAAUGUGAAUUGCAGAAUUCAGUGAAUCAUCGAAUCUUUGAACGCACCUUGCACUCCUUGGUAUUCCGAGGAGUAUGCCUGUUUGAGUGUCAUGAAAUUCUCAACCAUGUAUAUUGAUUUGUAUAUGGCUUGGACAUGGGAUUUGCUGGCUACUUCAAGUGGUCAGCUAUUCUUAAAUGCAUUAGCAGGACACAGCAUUGUCUGAUUGGUGUGAUAAUUAUCUGCGCCUUGAAAGACUUGCAUUGGUUCAGCUUCUAAUUGACCUUUGAAUGACCAAUUUGACCUCAAAUCAGGUAGGACUACCCGCUGAACUUAA
rnacentral:misc_RNA from 1 species